ACGCUGGCGGCAUGCCUAACACAUGCAAGUCGAACGAGACCUUCGGGUCUAGUGGCGCACGGGUGCGUAACGCGUGGGAAUCUGCCCUUGGGUUCGGAAUAACUUCGGGAAACUGAAGCUAAUACCGGAUGAUGACGUAAGUCCAAAGAUUUAUCGCCAAAGGAUGAGCCCGCGUAGGAUUAGGUAGUUGGUGGGGUAAAGGCCUACCAAGCCGACGAUCCUUAGCUGGUCUGAGAGGAUGAUCAGCCACACUGGGACUGAGACACGGCCCAGACUCCUACGGGAGGCAGCAGUGGGGAAUAUUGGACAAUGGGCGAAAGCCUGAUCCAGCAAUGCCGCGUGAGUGAUGAAGGCCUUCGGGUCGUAAAGCUCUUUUACCAGGGAUGAUAAUGACAGUACCUGGAGAAUAAGCUCCGGCUAACUCCGUG
rnacentral:rRNA from 1 species